UCACUGUAGCGCAUUGGAUAGCUCAUUGGACUUCUAAUCCAAAGGACGUGGGUUCGAAUUCCACCUGGUGAA